GCAGAUUGAUUUUAUUCAUGACCGCUUUAUUCUCAGGACCUGGCAGAGCACCUGGUAAUCCACGGACAUUGCCUGAGCUCCACGGAUCACAAGGAGCUGAGCAGCGUCUUCAACUUGGGCCAGGAGAGCUCUCGCUGGGCUAUGGAUCGCCACGUAGCUCUGGCCAUGGCCAAUCUGGAUAUCCCCCAAAACUGGAAUGUGCUGGGGAGCCACAGCGGAGACGAGCACAGCCUCAGGGAGUCUCCCCUCCACCUGGCCGUGCGAUGGGGUCUGUAUCGGCUUGCAGAGCUGCUGCUUUGUCAGCCGGGGGGUCUGAUGGCUGUCAGUCUGCCAAACGAAGAGGGAGUCACACCGCUGCAGCUGGCACAGAAAGCAGGCAACACGGAGCUCCUGGAGCUGCUCACACAGCCACCCAACCCUCUAGCCACGCCUCCAGCAGGUCUGUCCCAGGUGUGGGCAGAUCGGUCCCGCUUGCUGAGGUUCUGCCACGAUAUGGGGAACCUGACUCUGACCGUCAGACAAAGCCUGAGGUGGAGCUCGGAGGAGAGCCGGCACGCUGACAUCCUGCUCCUCAGAGACCGGCUCAGAGAUGAGGACUUCCUCAGAGAGGUGAGUUAUCAGUGUUGAAUGGUGCUGGUAAAAGGUUCUGUAGGCAAACACAGGGUUUAAACUGACCACUGUCAGUAAUGACAUGCAGAG
rnacentral:lncRNA from 1 species